CUAGCAGCUCCUCUGGGGCGGAACCGCCCGCUGGCUGGCAGAGGAAGGCGGUGGGGCUCAGGGUCCCGACCACCAGCGCCAUACACGCCGGCCGUGCCCGGUGAACGGCGGUGUGGGGAAGCUCGGUGAAGAGGCGAAGCCCGGCAUAACCCGAAGAAACCCAACGCCGGCCGCGGCGGCUCCCCCGCCGCCGAGCAGGGGACGGGCAGGCUCCGCUGCCUGAGGCGCGGCCGCCACCUGCCGUCCCGCCGCCGCGCUGCAGCCGCCCGGCCCUGGUUGGCAGCGGAGGGGACGGCCGGGUUUUGUCUGAAACGCGGUUGUUAAAGGACGUGGUUGUUAAAGGACGUGUUUCAGCGAAGGAAAGCCGGGCGAGGGGGCUCUACGCCUCCUCAGCGGCAGAGAGGGGCUUAGCAGGGGAAAACAUGGCUGUUUUGGAGCCUUCUGCACACGAGGCUAACUCUGGCCUUCUUAAAACAUCAUUAUUUUGUGUAUUUCUUUUCCUAAAAAUCUUACUGAUUGCUUGUCCAUUCUUUGUUAGAAAAGCACACCAAGAGCUGGCCAGGUUAUUUGAGCUUUGCCCCUCUACCCCACCACAAGCACUGAGGAGAUCUUAGAGCUGUGGCAUCAGCCAUGUUGCUUCCCACCAGGCAAACCACGACCUCAGCACCCCGCCCAGAGAGGGGAAGGACUGGGGCUUUUUCACCACCACACCGCUACAGGGGGGAAAUGGCUGCCUGAGGGAGGCAGGCGGUGCUGCCGCCAUGUCGAGGUGCCAGAGCAGAGCUGUGCUCCAGCGUCGGGACUCUCCAAAACUGGCCAGGCCUCCCCCCUCUUCCUCUCCUCUAACAUCCUCUGCCUGCUUCAGCACCCCACACACUUGCCUCCUUGCCAUCCCAAGGGUCCUCUGUCUGUUUGUCCGCAUGUCUGCAACCUGAGCAGAGCAUGCAUCUUCCAUUUCUCCAUGUCCCCGCUGCCUUCUGCAGGGGACGGCAUUGCCUCUCCUAGCAGGGCCUUUCAGAUGCGGCAUUGACAACGCCAAGGGGAUGUGCUCUGCAGGACACAACAGAGCCCUGUGCUGGGCACCCCAGAAUCACGUCUGCGUGUUGGAAGGACUUUCACUCCGAGCUCAGGACUUCUUUGGUGCUGCAGGAUGCUGGCUGGGCAGCCAGUGGUCUUCUCCCCAUCAGUCUGGCAUUUUCUUAGCAAAUCCUGUCGAAGGAACAGCCAGCUGAAGUAAAGCACAAUUUUGCUCUGACAUUUUGUCAGCCUCCAACUGAUUUUAAGUAUGAAUUAAGGCAGAAUCCGAUUGCAAGUGAGGCUCUCCUGAGAGUCUUUGAGCAAAAGCCUGAAACAAAGCGAACAGUACUAACAUUUGGUCAGGAGUAACUGGAGCUGAUCACUGGCAUAUGCCAGGAACAUUUUAUCUCCCAAUCUACCCUUACCUUUCUUGCUAUUCUUUCCCCUUUGCUUUGCUUUUUAUGAGUUAAUAAUGUUCAUUUUGCAUACAAAUCCCAGGCUGAAUUAAAUCACACCACAUCAUUGUAAUGUAAUGUCCCCUCACAUCCUUUCUCUUAAACAGUGUAGCCACAAACUGCUGUCUGGCACUUCCAGACAGAUGUCAAACUACUUUAAGCAGGGAUUUAUUUCUCCUCCACUGUUUUUGGUAUAUUAAGUUGAUGAUGAACAAAUAAUUAUUGCAAUUGCAGUCAAACAGUAUGCGUAGGUUGUUACAGUUCAGUGACUUUGAGACAGAGCAUGUGAGGAGGCAAGACUACCACAGAAGUUUCUCUCAUGAACAUUCUUUGAAGGAAAAGGAUGCCUAUCACUAUUGCCUAUCACUGCUUUGUUCACAUGUACAGCAGCUAGGAGACAGUCCUGUGGGUUUUAGAAAAAUAGAAUAAGACUAGACAGGAUGCUUACUUGGUUAGAAAAUAUUUAUUCCUCUGUACCUGUAUUGAUUACCUUUAGGUAUGAAUAGCAAUGCCAUUCUUAUCCUCCAAAUGUUCAUUCUGGUCAAUAACAAAAUUAAUUUGUAUACCAACAAAUCCGCAGCUAUCCAGGAGGGAAAUGAGCUCAGCAUAUAAUAGAGGAAAGUUUUGGCAAAGGGGAGAGUGUAGAAAGAAGCCUGCUCAUAAGAAUUAUUGAUAAAAGAAUUAUAUGUUUAUAGAAUCCAAUUCUGUAUCUUGAAGCAUUUUAUAUGCUUAGUCCUCAGCGAUAACAGCAACCAUUUCAAUGAUUGCUGUUUGGUGAAGAAAAUUGAUUUUAAAAUCUCUCUUAUUCAUUUACAAAUUAUUAUUCUUUCUUUCUUUUUUUUUUCCCUACUAAAGUAGCACCCUAGAGCCUGCAGCUCAGAUGAGGGCUCCUCUGUGGUAGGUACUGUGUAAACUUUUACUGACGGAUUGUUACACCUUACAGCCAUCACCCAGCAACUGGCUUUCUAAACUGCACAGCUCAGAUAUCCGUGUGUAUGUUAUUUUUAUGUUAUUGAAUGACUGCCCUAAAGCUGACACCUGAGAUAAAAGCAUUUAUUUAUUAGUCUACGCAGUCUCUCAAGCACCAAAAGGUGCCUUAAGAAAACUUAGCAUCCACACAUGGAAGUCUCCAACUCACUCAAAACCCAAAUCCAGCCUUGCAGCCACAGUGAACUCUAAGCAGCUCGCAGGAGGGAGAGAGCCAGGGUAUAGAAGAUUUGAAGGAAUGGUAGCAUGCCAUUCACAUGCUACACAUGCCUUUCAGCCUUUGCCUGUGCCAACCCAAAUCUGAGAGGCAGAGGAAACACAGGAGGUUUGCAGAAGUGGGAUAGGAUGCCAACAUCUUACUGACUGAAUUUAAGAAACAGGCUUGCAUGGCAAAUGCUCACUUCAGUUCUGCUCAGGAGGUGCAAUGAGCAGGCACCUUCCUCCCUGCAGGGAAGAUUUUCUGGGUGACAUGGUAGCCUCAGCAGUGGAGCUGUAGGAGGAAGAACCAAAAAGCCAAUAGUCCAAGAGGUACAAGGAAAAAUGCACUAGGACAUUCACAAUCCAAAAACAUUUCCACCAUAUGUAAAUAGGUAAGCUGGACACAGAAAGGGUAGGAAAAAUAUUCUAUUCUCCUUAUGUUACGGUGUAUGGUGAACUACCAAUAUGGGAAAACAAGAUGUUGAGAAACAAUAUUACUCUGUAUGUGACAGGAGCAGGAAAUGAUCACCAUUGCAGUGUCUGAAAAGCAAGACUUACCUUCCUUAAAAUCUCAUCAUUAACCAAUAGGUAAAAUGAAUGAAACUGCAUUUCAAGGUCAAGUGAUCCCUUGACAUGGACUGUACCCACAGGGGAAAGAAAAUUAGUGUUGUGAGCAAUGCAAAGUAGAAACAAGUGAUGUGAGGGAAAUUCAUCCUCAUACAAAGGCUCGUGCUGAUCCAAAUGCAUCUUAAGUUAAAAUUUAAGGGGUACAUGGGUUCUGGAGCACCUACCUGGAGAUCUUCUUUGUUCCCAACAUAUGCAAACACAGCAGGAGCUGGGGAUAUGCACAAAGAAUGCACAACACAGACAGUAAGGUAGUCACGAUCUGGAUACCAGCAUAUCUGCAUUGCUUUGGCCAUCUCUCUCCAGAACAUGUAACGUGCAAGUCUUGAGCAAAACAGAGGAGCAAACAUAACAAAAACUACUCUUGACUCUGAUCCAAAGCCCCCAGCUACCAAGGGAAGUCCUCCUCUACAGCAAACCUCACACAAUGCCCCCAGCUUCAGUGCUACAGUCACUCUUUAGCAAGGGAAGAUUCCUAGAGGAAAUGGUGUCUUACAGAACCCUGAGGAGCAUCUCACCAUUAUGAAAGACAAGUGAUACCGUCCUUCUCUCUGUAAUAUGAAGUAAAACAAUUUAAUGACCAAACAUCCAGUCAUAAUUUUGUCAGUUUUCGUGGUAUAUGUUGAAUUCUUUCAAACCUUAGCUUUGGAAAGCAUGUGGUUAUAUGAAAACCCCAUUUUUUUUUCUGUUUUUCUUUAUAUUUUUACUUCAGUAUCUAUCCUCCAUGUAGUUGCAGAGAAAAGCUCAAAAGCCGUGAAAAGGCUUUCCAGUCAAAUCAAACUCAAAUAUUUCUGUAUGCAUACAUAUAUGUACGUGUGUGUGUAUGUAUAUAAUUAUAACCCCACUUCAUGGUUUGACAGAGGGAUUUUCAGAACCUGAGGGCUGUGAUCAUCAAAAGAAUACACAUGAACUUUGGGAAGAGAAACAUAAGGGGUCAUGCAGCUGAACACUAAGGUAGCACCAAUCACAAAUUCAACCGUGCCAAAUUUUUGGCUGCUCUAAACUGGCACAGUUCCACUGAGUUACAUAAAUCAGCAGCUGGGUCAUGAACUAAAACCUGAAAUCAGAGAGAACAGAAAAUUUUGGGAAUGCAGACAUUUCAGCUUGCUUCACACCCCCCAUCUUUUGUUGCCUUUUUUUUUUUUUUGGCAUUUGCACAGAAAACAUGCCAGUGUGUCUUUCACAGCACUGCGAUGAAGAAAAUUCAAGCUGCUCUGCCUGAUAUUAAAAGAUGUGGCAUUUGGUAAUAUUUGGAUGCAAUCCAAUUGCUAAACUGCUGAACCGCAGUUUGUAACGCAAGCACAGCUUGAAGGGAAAGCAGCAAAAGACAGAUGAAAAUGAAAGUUAUCAACAGGAAUAAAAGGACGUGAGCAGAAAGCAGCAGGAGGAAUAUACUGUGUCUGAGAAUGGAGAGAAAUGUACUACACGCUUUAACAGUGGUAUUAGUGAUUUCAACACAGCCACAUAGGGAAGCUGAGCACUAGCAUUUUGAUAAAUUGGAGUGAAAGAAUGAGCUUUGGAGUGAGUGGAAGCAUAACAUGUGGCCAAAUAUGUGAUGAAAUGCAAAAUUGAGAGUCUCUUCACCUGGAGUAUGUUAGAUGCUGAAGAACAAUGCCAGCUACUAAGUUCAAGUGAUGAAAUCAAAGUUGCAGUAUGUAAGAUUAAUGUUAGAAGAAACAGCUUCUCAUGCUAUUAGAAAGAUCACGGUCUGGUCAUAAAGGACUCGGUUGUGUAGCCUCCCAAGAAUUUAGCUUUUGAACAUGUCCAGUUUUGUUUCAUGCAUUCAAAUGUUAAUAAUUAACCAUGUAAUAUCAACCUUAAGCUUUGAAUUUCCCUAGAUACUGUCAAUUUAAAUCUGACUCUUGGCAUUGCUAUAGUGUGUUUUUGCUUCUAAAAGGAAUGAUAAGGUCCUAGGAAUAUUGUAUCAGGCUUCCUAAUGAGGGAACCACAGAAAAUAGGGCUGGAAGGGACCUCGCGAGGUCAUCUAGUCCAGCCCUCUGCCCUAAGGCAGGAUCAAUUAUACCCAAAUCAUUCCUGACAGAUGUUUGUCUAACCUGUUCUUAAAAACGUCUAGCAAUGAAGAUCCCACAACCUCCCCAGGCAAUCUGUUUCAGUACUUCACUACAGUUACAGCUGGAAAGCCUGUCCUAAUGUCUUCCUUAAAUCUCCUUUGCUGCCAUUUAAAUCCAUUAGCUUUUUUUUCUAUUCCCAGUGGACACACAGAACAAUUUAUUACCUUCCUCUUUGCCGCAAAUUUUACAUAUCUCAAGAGUGGUACCACAUUCUUACUCCCUCCUCUGCAUCUCCUUUCUCUAGAUUUAUAAACCCACUUCUUUCACCUAUCCCCACAAGUCAUGUCUUCUAGACUUCUGAUCAAUGCCGUUACUUUCUGCUGGACUUUCCAAUUGGCCUGCAUCUUUCCUUUUUGAAGUAUAGUGCACUAAAGUAGACACAUUACUCCAGCUAGGGUCUGGAGCAAAGAAUAAGCAGGGUAGGAUUGCCUCACUUUUCUUCCCCAUGACAAGUUAUUUAUAGAGCUUAAAUUGUAUCAGCUUUCCUCACAUCAUGGCCUGUGUUCAGUUUUUAAUUCACAGUAGUCACAGAUCCUUUCCUGCAGAAUGGCCACCGAGUCAGUCACUCUCAUCAUUUAUGUAUGUUGUUGGCUAUAGGAAUUCAGCGUCAACAUCCUGGAGCGUUAAAACACUUAACGUCCUUGAAUUUAAACCUAUUCAUCUCAAACUACCUUGAUCAAGUUAGCUAGUUGUCCAGGAGGAAAGUUGAAUCCCUGCUCAAAUCUAUACUAUAUGGAAUUAGAUUUAUCUUACGCAAUCUUGAAACAUGCUAUGAGGAACCAGCUAUUUUUUCUCUUUAUGCUCUAAAGGUGGAUCCUUCUUCGUAGCAGCUCCCUGUACAUGGAGCAAUUUGCAUGUACAGCCUCAAGCAGACAGAGAACAACGUUCCUUGUAGCAACGGGGCCUAAACAACACAAAAAAGACACUGGAGUAAGAAAAAGACUAGCUCUUCAAGUGCCAGAGUGGUAUUUUACUUGAAAUAGAACUACAAGUUAGCAGCCACUGUUGUAAGUUAUCACAUUAAUCACAAUAGCAGUGAACUUUACAAAAUCCUCUGAAUUUCACCUUCCUCUAACUUUGAUUUUCAACAAAUGUGUAUAAUUUGGCAUGAUUACAAAUUAAUAGUGGAAUACCAACUAGCUCAAAGGAACAAGUCCUCUAAUUCCCAUCAAACUUGAAUGCCUAAUUCCCACAGGUGCCUUUGAAAAUCCCUUCUGAAUGUUGUUGUUCAUUGGAUAAACACCUCAAACAUCACUGGCUUGCUACACAAACACGGUCUGCCUGGAAUAAUUUAUGAAAAUCGUAAAAUUGAUUUAAGCUCUGCUCAGUGCUCCAUAAAUUUUAUGCAGUCCUUAAAUUAUAAAACUGCUGCUACUGCUGUGGCACUGCUCAGAACAAUGCUUAAUCUCUUCUCUAGGGAUAGUUGGCGUGUCAGAGGAGAAAAGAGGAGACUGAGGCAGCUGAAUUGUUUGUUUCAAUUUAACAGGGCAGAAUAAAAUAGCCUGGAUGCCAGGGCUCUAGUCCCACUGAGACUGCAUGCAUCAAGUUUUUAUUGCCAAAAUAGCUGUGGUAGCCUUCCCUUGCCUUUCCUUUUUAUUAAACCAGAAAAUACCUUUCCCUGAUUUCACCAGGACACUUUUUGCAUACAUCAUCAGAUUUGUGAAGGACAACUAUGAGAUACUUGAGAUGUUCCCCUUCUAAUUUAUAAUCGAUGUGUUCCUGUUCUCAAGAUACACAACAAAAUGCUGCAAAUGUCCAAUUGCACACUGGUGUAAAAAAGCUCUGCAGAUCUUAUUACAUCCUUAUCAAGUAGUCUUUUUCUCAACACAAAAUUCUAAA